rnacentral:lncRNA from 1 species
AUGCAAGAAACAUUGAAACGCAGAGAAGAAGAUCAUCAGAAAGAAGAGGCAGAAUUGGGCGUAUGGGAUUGUGGCAGCCCCUUAUAUGACUCCUAUGAAUUGGUCAGAGUCAGUCAUCUGAUCGAACGGCAUCUAAUGGCAUUGCCCUCUCUAGGAGGAUCAAGGCGGUUCAUCACCAAUCUCUCUCAUCUUCCAUCAUUAGAGAUGGCCUCCUUGAGUGCCACUACCAUAUCAUCAAGGGAGGGCAAAGGGUCAUCUUCUUCUUCCAUGGUGGGUGGCUUGAGUGAAUUUAUGGGGAUUAGGAAGAUUUGGAAGAGGAGGGUUGUGUUUGGAGGAAGAAAAGACAAGGCCAAGAAAAUGAAAACAGGGUUGUCUGGCUUUUGCAAUUUGAUUGAUCUAUGGAGGCAAAAGGAUCACAGGUGA